rnacentral:rRNA from 1 species
UACAGAGGGUGCGAGCGUUAAUCGGAAUUACUGGGCGUAAAGCGUGCGUAGACGGUUAUUUAAGUCGGGUGUGAAAGCCCCGGGCUCAACCUGGGAAUUGCAUUCGAGACUGAAUAGCUAGGGUACGGUAGAGGGAAGUGGAAUUUCCGGUGUAGCGGUGAAAUGCGUAGAUAUCGGAAGGAACAUCAGUGGCGAGAGCGACUUCCUGGACCAGUACCGACGUUCAGGCACGAAAGCGUGGGGAGCAAACAGG